UACAGAGGUCCCAAGCGUUGUUCGGAUUCACUGGGCGUAAAGGGUGCGUAGGUGGCCAGGUAAGUUCGGUGUGAAAGCUCGGAGCUUAACUCCGAAAUGGCAUUGAAUACUAUCUGGCUAGAGGGUCGGAGGGGAGACUGGAAUUCUCGGUUUAGCAGUGAAAUGCGUAGAUAUCGAGAGGAACACCAGUGGCGAAGGCGAGUCUCUGGACGACUCCUGACACUGAGGCACGAAAGCCAGGGGAGCAAACAGG
rnacentral:rRNA from 1 species